rnacentral:rRNA from 1 species
AACGAACGCUGGCGGCAUGCCUAACACAUGCAAGUCGAACGAGACGUUCGGGUCUAGUGGCGCACGGGUGCGUAACGCGUGGGAACCUGCCCUUAGGUUCGGAAUAACUCCCCGAAAGGGGUCCUAAUACCGGAUAAUGUCUUCGGACCAAAGACUUAUCGCCUUGGGAUGGGCCCGCGUUGGAUUAGCUGGUUGGUAGGGUAAAAGCCUACCAAGGCGACGAUCCAUAGCUGGUCUGAGAGGAUGACCAGCCACGCUGGGACUGCGACACGGCCCAGACUCCUACGGGAGGCAGCAGUGGGGAAUAUUGGACGAUGGGCGAAAGCCUGAUCCAGCAAUGCCGCGUGAGUGAUGCAGGCCUUAGGGUUGUAAAGCUCUUUUACCCGGGAUGAUAAUGACAGUACCGGGAGAAUAAGCUCCGGCUAACUCCGUG